rnacentral:ncRNA from 1 species
GGGGAAGUAUGGUUGCAAAGCUGAAACUUAAAGGAAUUGACGGAAGGGCACCACCAGGAGUGGAGCUUGCGGCUUAAUUUGACUCAACACGGGAAAACUCACCCGGCCCGGACACUGAGAGGAUUGACAGAUUGAGAGCUCUUUCUUGAUUCAGUGGGUGGUGGUGCAUGGCCGUUCUUAGUUGGUGGAGUGAUUUGUCUGGUUAAUUCCGAUAACGAACGAGACUCUAGCCUACUAAAUAGACUUGCAGUUUACACUGCAGUACUCCCCUUAGUCAACCUGUGGGUGGUAGUAUCUCUUGAUGGUUUCGGCUGUGAGGGCUCUGCUGCUAUUAGCCUACAGAAUUGGCUAGGGUAAGGAUGCUGUAGCACUGUAAGGACUUCUUAGAGGGACAAGCGGCGCUCGCAGCCGCACGAAACAGAGCAAUAACAGGUCUGUGAUGCCCUUAGAUGUCCGGGGCCGCACGCGUGCUACACUGAAGUGGUCAUCGUGCAUACUGUUCCUGCUCCGAAAGGAGUGGGUAACCGCUUGAACCCAUUUCGUGAUGGGGAUUGGGCAUUGUAAUUAUUGCCCAUGAACGAGGAAUUCCCAGUAAGCGUGAGUCAUUAGCUUGCGUUGAUUACGUCCCUGCCCUUUGUACACACCGCCCGUCGCUACUACCGAUUGAAUGAUUUAGUGAGGACUUCGGACUGGUCAAUCCAGACCAUUGGGAAACUAGUGGUCGGAUUGUGCUGGAAAGAUGUUCAAACUUGAUCAUUUAGAGGAAGUAAAAGUCGUAACAAGGUUUCCGUAGGUGAACCUGCGGAAG